rnacentral:ncRNA from 1 species
CCGGUGUUCAAGAUGGAUCAAUGAUCACCCAAUAUGGUAUUAUGGAAGUAGCACAAUUGGUAUCGGAUCUUGUGAAUCUCACACCUACACAAGUAAAGCUUUUGGUCAUGGUCGGGACUCCCAUGGGGGGCAGCAGUGGGGAAUCUUGGACAAUGGGCGAAAGCCCGAUCCAGCAAUAUCGCGUAAGUGAAGAAGGGCAAUGCCGCUUGUAAAGCUAUUUCGUCAAGUGCGCGAUCAUGACAAAACUCAAGGAAGAAGCCCCGGCUAACUCCAUGCCAGCAGCCACGAUAAGACGUGGGGGCA